CGCGCGGCAUUGAUAAACUAUAACUGGAGAAAAAAGCGCUUUUAAAACAAAUGUACGAACCUUGUUCCGAUAAGUGCUGGGCAGGCAAGCCCAUUGCGCGUAGCUCAUAUGAACCAUCGCUCAAGAAUUUCUUGUUAUCUCGUGAAAUCUUUCCUCGUCCGCGCGAAGGAUACGCUCGGUGAUUGUACUGGAAAGUCAGCAACUGCUGCCACUGGCCCAACUCAGGGAACCUCGACAACUGCUCGUUACGCGCAGUCGAAGCAUACGGGACCCUCAGGCCCGUACGAACAAGCCAACGAAAAUUUCGAGACACGGAGACCGAAAUUUCGAUCGUUCCAUUUUUCCUAGUAUUUAGACUUUAGGUUUGGUUCGGGGCGAGGGUAACAUGCGGACGGAGAGCUCUGCGGAAAAAGUGAAGUGUGAAGGGAAAAAGGAGAAGGAAGCACAAAGUGACACGAAGAAGGGAAAAUAAAGGGUGAGCAUACGAGGAGGAAGUGAAAGAAAAGCGAAAAGAAGUCAGGAACGAGAGAAAGACACAAAUUAGAAAAACUAGAGGGGUAGAGGUUAGGAAGUCAGAAGGGCGGCAAACAAAGUAAGGUAGGGAAACAAAAGAUGGCGACAAACAGAGGGAGACCAAGGAACAUGGAUAAGGCGGGAGAUAAGGCAGAUUUCAAACAAUAUGUAAUUACCAUUAUUAUUUUCGACGCCAAAAACGAGCAAUAAUAAUUCAGCUAUCAUAAAUUCCAUCUUACCUGCACCUCUAUUCACGAUAAAAAGUAUUUUUAUUAUCAUGUUUUGAUU
rnacentral:misc_RNA from 1 species